GCGCCAGUGGUUUAGCGGUAAAAUCCAUCGUUGCCAACAAGCAGUUUCGAUGGGCCCCCGGUUCGACUCCGGGCUGGCGCA